GUGCCAAUCGUGGCAGCACAUAUACUAAAAUUGAAACAAUAUAGAGAAGAUUAGCAUAGCUCCUAUGCAAAAAUAAUACACAAAUUUGUGAAGCAUUCCAUAUUAUC